rnacentral:rRNA from 1 species
GAGUUUGAUCGUGGCUCAGAGCGAACGCUGGCGGCAGGCUUAACACAUGCAAGUCGAACGAGCUGGGACCUUCGGGUCCCGAUGCUAGUGGCGCAACGGGUGAGUAACACGUGGGAACGUACCCUUUAGUACGGAAUAACUGAGGGAAACUUCAGCUAAUACCGGUAUGACUCCUUCGGGAGAAAGAUUUAUCGCUAAAGGAACGGCCCGCGUCUGAUUAGGUAGUUGGUGAGGUAAUGGACUCACCAAGCCUACGAUCAGUAGCUGGUCUGAGAGGAUGAUCAGCCACACUGGGACUGAGACACGGCCCAGACUCCUACGGGAGGCAGCAGUGGGGAAUA